rnacentral:rRNA from 1 species
UACGUAGGGCGCAAGCGUUGUCCGGAAUUAUUGGGCGUAAAGAGCUCGUAGGCGGUCUGUCACGUCGGGAGUGAAAACUCGGGGCUUAACCCCGAGCCUGCUUCCGAUACGGGCAGACUAGAGGUAGGCAGGGGAGAGCGGAACUCCUGGUGUAGCGGUGGAAUGCGCAGAUAUCAGGAAGAACACCGGUGGCGAAGGCGGCUCUCUGGGCCUUACCUGACGCUGAGGAGCGAAAGCGUGGGUAGCGAACAGG